rnacentral:rRNA from 1 species
ACGUUUCUAAACGGAAAAAUCAUUAAUUCUUCCCUAAUAUUAGAUCAAUUUUAUUCCUUUUGCCCAUUUUUGAUCAUGUACGUAACGGUUGGGUGAUUUUCGGAGUUUGUAGGUUACUCUCGAUUUGAGUGUGUAAAGCGACUACGUUAUAUGUGUUGGUUUUACGAGGUUGGUUCGUCUGUGCUUGGUUGGCCUUUGGAUGAGGUAACUUCCAGAGCGUGGUGACAGCCCUAUCUUCUUCAGUACUGACGAUAACUUCCUCGUUUGAUCCAUACGAGAGUGCCUCUAUUCUGCGUACGUGAGGUGUUCGAUAUCUCCUAAACACGCGUUACACUGUGAACUAUGUGGUUACUGGUCGUCAUGUGCGAUGGAGCGAGUGUGUUGGUGUUGCAACAGUUUGAGAGUUCCGGUGGUGGAACUAAAGGCUGGGGAGUCAGCAGGUAACCGUACCAGGUGGUUGUGGUGGAAGGUCCAAGUGGUAACUGUAUGGUGGUGAGCGAUGGUGGAUGUUGGAUACGAAGUACCCCGUUACCAGGCAUCCGAUGCUAUAAGACGGCGACGAGGUUACAUUUUAGUCUAGAGAGAAACCUUGCGAUUCGGCUGUUCGAGCGAUUGUUAUGACAGUGUAUUUGGGUACCACAUAUAUUCCAUUUUUCCUUAAUUAAAUGACCUUUGAGAAUCUAAACAUGUAGUGAUCGUGGAUCAGCUGAGAGAGAGAGAGAGUUUUUGUUUCUCCUCCCUUUUGUACAUAUCUGUCCACUGUGGUUACAGCUACCACCGAUCGAUGAAGAGGAAAACAAGAAUGGAGACGGUUCUCGAAGUACAGCAACGACAAGGGGAAGCGACGGUAGGGGUCGCUGUCCCCGUUGUGACCGAAGAACAGCUGGAACCGAAGAACUGCCCGACUGGCUGGAGUGGAAAGUCCCGGCGGCAAGGCUGUAUGGUGGUGAGUGAGAGUUCAAUGCCACAGCGUGUCGGAUUGGUGAAUGUUAGAUACAACGCUGCCCAUUGGCAAGUAUCUGGUACUGACAACGUGACUGAGUAGAGACCUACAGUAGCGAGGCUGUACGGUGGCGAGUGAAGGUGGAGGUUAGAUACGAAGUGCCCCGUUAGCCUACGUUAUACGUCUGAUUUCGUCAGCGUGGUCGAGUAGCGGCGGGGCCGUAUUUCAGUUUGGCUGGGGAGACACGUGCAGUUGACCACAUAUUUUGACUGCCGAAUUCUACACAUGUCGUGAUCAUACCAUCAGCUGAGAGAGGGUUUUUUCUCUCUCUUUUGGGCAUGUGCUGCCCAUUUGCCAUAAAUGUAUGUAGCUGUGGUUUACAGCUUCCACCGAUCGAUGAAGGGGAAAACUAAGGCACUAGGAUCGAUCGUCGAUUAGUGGAGACGGUCCUCGAACAUGGCGGAGUGGAACUGGGAUGGGACGGCGCGGUCGAAGGGGCGGACGUAGCCGAAGAACAGCGGCGACAAAGGGAAGCGGCGGCACGGGCCGCUGCCCCCGUCGCGGCCGGUGAGCAGCUGGAAUCCGAAGAACAGCGGCGACAAGGCGAAGCGGCGGCACGGGCCGCUGCCCCCGUCGCCACCGGAGAGCAGCUGGAACCCGAAGAACUGGCCGACUGGUUGGAGGCGCCGGCUAGAGGACCUGGAGCAUCGUCACCGCGUAGGCCGGAGCACGAC